rnacentral:rRNA from 1 species
GAUGAACGCUGGCGGCGUGCUUAACACAUGCAAGUCGAACGAUGAAGCCCAGCUUGCUGGGUGGAUUAGUGGCGAACGGGUGAGUAACACGUGAGUAACCUGCCCUUAACUCUGGGAUAAGCCUGGGAAACAGGGUCUAAUACCGGAUAGGAGCGCCUACCGCAUGGUGGGUGUUGGAAAGAUUUAUCGGUUUUGGAUGGACUCGCGGCCUAUCAGCUUGUUGGUGAGGUAAUGGCUCACCAAGGCGACGACGGGUAGCCGGCCUGAGAGGGUGACCGGCCACACUGGGACUGAGACACGGCCCAGACUCCUACGGGAGGCAGCAGUGGGGAAUAUUGCACAAUGGGCGAAAGCCUGAUGCAGCGACGCCGCGUGAGGGAUGACGGCCUUCGGGUUGUAAACCUCUUUCAGUAGGGAAGAAGCGAAAGUGACGGUACCUGCAGAAGAAGCACCGGCUAACUACGUG